rnacentral:rRNA from 1 species
GAUGAACGCUGGCGGCGUGCCUAAUACAUGCAAGUCGAGCGAACAGACGAGGAUCUUGCUCCUCUGACGUUAGCGGCGGACGGGUGAGUAACACGUGGAUAACCUACCUAUAAGACUGGGAUAACUUCGGGAAACCGGAGCUAAUACCGGAUAAUAUAUUGAACCGCAUGGUUCAAUAGUGAAAGACGGUUUUGCUGUCACUUAUAGAUGGAUCCGCGCCGCAUUAGCUAGUUGGUAAGGUAACGGCUUACCAAGGCGACGAUGCGUAGCCGACCUGAGAGGGUGAUCGGCCACACUGGAACUGAGACACGGUCCAGACUCCUACGGGAGGCAGCAGUAGGGAAUCUUCCGCAAUGGGCGAAAGCCUGACGGAGCAACGCCGCGUGAGUGAUGAAGGUCUUCGGAUCGUAAAACUCUGUUAUUAGGGAAGAACAAAUGUGUAAGUAACUAUGCACGUCUUGACGGUACCUAAUCAGAAAGCCACGGCUAACUACGCG